GUUAUGAAUCGACUUAUUUCAAUUAUUUAAAUGUUGUGAGCGAAAGAAAAGUGAAAAUACCAUGAGCUGACGAGAUACAUUUUCAAAACAUUAUGCAUCUCGUGAUGUCAUAUUCUUGAACCAGUUUGAACCAAGAAACGCACUGGAAAGAUAAAAAUGGUCGUAGUUGAAAUAAUCGGCGUAAUUGGAUUUGCUGGGUUAAUAUCCGCCUGGGCGGUGUGGAUCUAUCCCGCCAUUCGAGGUGAGAAAAAAGUAACGCCAAAAACUAUGAUUUUUACACAAGGUCAAUGCGCCAUGGCAUUGCUACCCAGUGAUAAAGAUCAGAAAAGAAUAGACGCGUGGAAAGAGAAGUCAAGAAGAAUGAAAGCGUCAGGAGAAGAUUCAUAAAAAAUGAUUUAAAAACAGACUUUUAACGACAUAUAUUUACUACUCAAUAUAUCAUUCCAUAUUUUCAUCUUUAUUUAUAUUUAAUUGUAAAUAUAGUAUUCCUGUCCAAGUAAAA